UCAUCUCCGGGGGUAGAGCACUGUUUCGGCAAGGGGGUCAUCCCGACUUACCAACCCGAUGCAAACUGCGAAUACCGGAGAAUGUUAUCACGGGAGACACACGGCGGGUGCUAACGUCCGUCGUGAAGAGGGAAACAACCCAGACCGCCAGCUAAGGUCCCAAAGUCAUGGUUAAGUGGGAAACGAUGUGGGAAGGCCCAGACAGCCAGGAUGUUGGCUUAGAAGCAGCCAUCAUUUAAAGAAAGCGUAAUAGCUCACUGGUCGAGUCGGCCUGCGCGGAAGAUGUAACGGGGCUAAACCAUGCACCGAAGCUGCGGCAGCGACGCUUAUGCGUUGUUGGGUAGGGGAGCGUUCUGUAAGCCUGCGAAGGUGUGCUGUGAGGCAUGCUGGAGGUAUCAGAAGUGCGAAUGCUGACAUAAGUAACGAUAAAGCGGGUGAAAAGCCCGCUCGCCGGAAGACCAAGGGUUCCUGUCCAACGUUAAUCGGGGCAGGGUGAGUCGACCCCUAAGGCGAGGCCGAAAGGCGUAGUCGAUGGGAAACAGGUUAAUAUUCCUGUACUUGGUGUUACUGCGAAGGGGGGACGGAGAAGGCUAUGUUGGCCGGGCGACGGUUGUCCCGGUUUAAGCGUGUAGGCUGGUUUUCCAGGCAAAUCCGGAAAAUCAAGGCUGAGGCGUGAUGACGAGGCACUACGGUGCUGAAGCAACAAAUGCCCUGCUUCCAGGAAAAGCCUCUAAGCAUCAGGUAACAUCAAAUCGUACCCCAAACCGACACAGGUGGUCAGGUAGAGAAUACCAAGGCGCUUGAGAGAACUCGGGUGAAGGAACUAGGCAAAAUGGUGCCGUAACUUCGGGAGAAGGCACGCUGAUACGUAGGUGAAGCGACUUGCUCGUGGAGCUGAAAUCAGUCGAAGAUACCAGCUGGCUGCAACUGUUUAUUAAAAACACAGCACUGUGCAAACACGAAAGUGGACGUAUACGGUGUGACGCCUGCCCGGUGCCGGAAGGUUAAUUGAUGGGGUUAGCGGUAACGCGAAGCUCUUGAUCGAAGCCCCGGUAAACGGCGGCCGUAACUAUAACGGUCCUAAGGUAGCGAAAUUCCUUGUCGGGUAAGUUCCGACCUGCACGAAUGGCGUAAUGAUGGCCAGGCUGUCUCCACCCGAGACUCAGUGAAAUUGAACUCGCUGUGAAGAUGCAGUGUACCCGCGGCAAGACGGAAAGACCCCGUGAACCUUUACUAUAGCUUGACACUGAACAUUGAGCCUUGAUGUGUAGGAUAGGUGGGAGGCUUUGAAGUGUGGACGCCAGUCUGCAUGGAGCCGACCUUGAAAUACCACCCUUUAAUGUUUGAUGUUCUAACGUUGGCCCGUGAUCCGGGUUGCGGACAGUGUCUGGUGGGUAGUUUGACUGGGGCGGUCUCCUCCUAAAGAGUAACGGAGGAGCACGAAGGUUGGCUAAUCCUGGUCGGACAUCAGGAGGUUAGUGCAAUGGCAUAAGCCAGCUUGACUGCGAGCGUGACGGCGCGAGCAGGUGCGAAAGCAGGUCAUAGUGAUCCGGUGGUUCUGAAUGGAAGGGCCAUCGCUCAACGGAUAAAAGGUACUCCGGGGAUAACAGGCUGAUACCGCCCAAGAGUUCAUAUCGACGGCGGUGUUUGGCACCUCGAUGUCGGCUCAUCACAUCCUGGGGCUGAAGUAGGUCCCAAGGGUAUGGCUGUUCGCCAUUUAAAGUGGUACGCGAGCUGGGUUUAGAACGUCGUGAGACAGUUCGGUCCCUAUCUGCCGUGGGCGCUGGAGAACUGAGGGGGGCUGCUCCUAGUACGAGAGGACCGGAGUGGACGCAUCACUGGUGUUCGGGUUGUCAUGCCAAUGGCACUGCCCGGUAGCUAAAUGCGGAAGAGAUAAGUGCUGAAAGCAUCUAAGCACGAAACUUGCCCCGAGAUGAGUUCUCCCUGACUCCUUGAGAGUCCUGAAGGAACGUUGAAGACGACGACGUUGAUAGGCCGGGUGUGUAAGCGCAGCGAUGCGUUGAGCUAACCGGUACUAAUGAACCGUGAGGCUUAACCUU
rnacentral:rRNA from 1 species